rnacentral:rRNA from 1 species
GACGGAGGAUGCAAGUGUUAUCCGGAAUCACUGGGCGUAAAGCGUCUGUAGGUGGUUUAAAAAGUCCACUGUUAAAAAUUGAAGCUUAACUUCAAAGAUGCCGUGGAAACUUUUAAACUUGAGUAUGAUAGGGGUAGAGGGAAUUUCCAGUGGAGCGGUGAAAUGCGUAGAUAUUGGAAAGACCACCAAUGGCGAAGGCACUCUACUGGGCCAUUACUGACACUGAGAGACGAAAGCUAGGGGAGCGAACAGG